ACCUAUAUCAUAAGAAAAUUAUCUCAGAUUAUGCAUCACAGGUCAAACCUGUAAACCAAGAGUGUUUCUGUUGAAGAGCCUGGGGAUCAAGACACCAGGCAGGUGAUGGAGACACUGUCUCAGGAGCGCCCAGUUGAUCACAGAGGAGCCUGCUGGACACACAUGUGGGACAUCAGCAGUCAGUUUAUCAGAGUCACCAGGGAGUUGUGCUGGUGCCUGAGGGGACCAUGAUGGAGUCAAGGCACCUGCUCAGUGUCAUGGACAGGGAUGGUCCAGAAGUGAUCUAGGUGGUCUUUAUGCUAAUCAAAUAUGGGCUCAGAGUGAGGAGCACAAGCUGUGGGAGAUUGCUCUUCAGUGAAAAGACCUCUAACCACAAAUAGUUCAGAAAUGGAGUAGGACAUGGAUUUCCUGUGAAGGAUUAGGGCUUGGACAGUCAGCAUCCCACUCCUCUAUGGCAGGUGUGUCAUCUAUCUUCUCCUUCUUAUCCUCAGUCAGGCUUGGAGCUAUGAAGUAAUCUGUCUGAUAUAUAUGCAAAUAGCCUGAGAUCUACUGAGCUAAAUAUGGAUACAUCUGGGCCCAGAGAGCAUCACGCAACACCCAUAUCUCUCCUCUAGAGGACCCCAGAGAGGAAAGUUUUCACCAUGGACUGGAGCUGGAAGAUCUUCGGCUUGGUUGCAGUAGCUGCAGGGCUGAGGAGGGAAUUUUUUCGAGUUGAGAGGACUUUUAUUCUCUACUGUCUCCUCUCCACAGGUGCCCACUCCCAGGUGCAGCUGGUGCAGUCUGGGGCUGAGGUGAGGAAGCCUGGGGCCUCAGUGAAGGUCUCCUGCAAAGCUUCUGGAUACACCUUUACCAGCCAUGGUAUCAGCUGGCUGCAACAGGCCCCUGGACAAGGGCUUGAGUUGAUAGGAUGGAUCCACCCUAACAGUGGUGACACAGGCUAUGCACAGAAGUCCCAGGGCAGAGUCACCAUGACCAGGGACACAACCACAAGCAUAGCCUACAUGGAGCUGAGCAGCCUGAGAUCUGAGGACACGGCCAGUUUUAGGAUCACAGCAGAUCUGAGGAGAAGCAGCAAAGUUCCCGUGUACUCCUGCCCCACACAUGCUCAGACUUCCCUGCUGUCAACACCUGCACCAGAGUCAUAAAGCAGUUACAGCGGAUGAACCUGCACAGACAAGUUGGUCAUUUUCUUUUCUGGUGGUCCCUGGUGUAUCAAGCCCAUCUAUCUUGAAGCAUCCCAGGUUCUUCAAGUGGAUUACUGAAAAUUAUGCCAAACAGAUGGAAAGUGGGUGGGCCAUUUCCCUUUGCACUCUUUCCUCAGGGGUCCAGUGACAAGUUCUCCUCAGUAGAAUGUGGUUGAUGUAGUGAAAUCUUCAAUUUUCCCAUCUUCUGUGUUCUCAUGUUUCUCUCCUCAUCUGAGAUUAAGAAACUCAUCUGCAUGUUGACCUGGGGAGCCUCUUUCUGCUAGUUUUCU